UUAUGACUACAAUUCAAAAAAAUGAGGAGAUUCAAUUCAAUACUGGAACUACAUUUAUAGACACAAAGAAAGACAAGUUUGACUGUGAAUACUGUCGGCCUUGUGUGAGGUGUCUUUGGCAUGGUUUUCUGUGGGUGUAGGGCGAAACAAGCAGCUGAUUUUUUUUAGUAAGUACAUGAAACGUGCAUGUGUGUGUGACUGAAAAAAAAAGUUUCACAAAGUUUCAACAGAUUUGAUAUAAAAAUAUUAGAAAUUGACCCCAAUGAUCUCACCCAAAAGCCUCGCAUUGCAUUGAUCAACGCCUCGCAUUGAUCUGAGUUUGGGUUUCCCUGUUGGGAAAGAAGAAGGUUUCUCGAAUGGGAUUCGAAGGCGUUGAUCUUGGUAACAUAGAAUAAGGUCCAAGCUAGCAAGUCAUUUAGAACAUCCCAACUGUUGAUACAGAACCAGGAAGCCGUCGCUGAUGGAUGGACAUGGAAAAAAAACUCCCCCGCGUCGCUCCCUCCCGAGCGACUCGGGGGCGAAACCUCGCGCGGCGCCGCCGGCUCUCCCCUCCGCCUCCCCCCGCCGCCGCUGCCGCUGGCCCUGCAGCGGUGGCGGCGGGCCCCUUCCUCAAAUGGGGGAGGGGAUCCUCUGGUCGCUCUGCGCGGCGGAGCUCGGUGCCCGGGGCAGCGGCCCCGGAUCUAGUGGCGGCGGCGCGGCGUGCCUGACCGCGGCGGCGCGCUGUGGGGUGGCGCGCGGCUGUGUCUAGGCGGCCGAGGCUGGGGCAUGCGUGCGGGAGCUCGCGGAGGCGGGCGCAUGCUGUGGCGCUGUGGCGCGGUGGCGCACGGGGGUGGUCAGCGGCAGCUCAGGCAUGGGCUUCAUGUCGCCGUUGGCGGCCGUCCAUGGCCGGAUCCAUGGGCCUGACGCCUGGAUCUGUGGGCUGGCGGUGGUUGCAGGGAGAUGGAGAUGGUGCGGUGGGGUGGCUGGAUAUUCCCCUUUUGGCGGCUGGUUCUUGCUGCUCCGCGAGAGGGCGCUGGAUCUGGACGCCGGAUGCUUCAGUGCGACGUGGAGUUGGUUCCAGCCUCUGGUGGCUCGCCGGUGGUUGGGCCAUGGGCGGCGGCGGGGCUGCCAUGGCCCUCUUCGUCGGCUGGUGCAGGCAUGAAGGUGGUGGGCCCAGCAAGGAGUAUGGGGGUUCAGCAGGACAUCCUUGCAGGAGCAGUCGAGAAGAGGAUUCCAUCGGCGUCGCAUUCAAGCAGUUGAGUACUUGAGUUACAUUCAUAAAGGUGUUACUGCCAAGCCUGGAUUCAAGUGGAGAAUCCUCCAGUAGGAACAUCGUCUGCCCACAACAGUUGUGGAUCGGGAAUGCAAGCCAGAUCGCCUCCACAUGGGCUGCUGUUGCAAGGUCAUGGUGCCGCACCUCAGCUAAUUCAGUAGGAGUAGUCCAUUCCCCGUCCAAGUGUUUAUUAUUAAUCACUAUUGUUUCAUCUGUUUAUUCUCAUCUAGCUCAUAUAUUAAGUGACUUUUUAAACGUUUGGCUAAUUCCUUUUUGUCUUUUGGGGCUUUGCGGUGAAGGCGAGAUGAAUUUAGAAGAGUUCAAUUUAGAGUCAGUGUAGUGUGUUCCGCGGAAAGAAAAGAUAAUUGGUGUAGUGUCUCUCGCCUAUUGGACUCAGUCUAUUAUGCCCACUAAAUAUAUACAUGUAUGUUGCAGAGACUUGGCACAUGGAUGGUUAGCAUCUCUUCGCACAUGCAUGUCAAUUCACUGAAAAGGUACUACUGUAACUAUGACUAUGGGUGUAGAUGUCCACUCUUGAUUUUUGAGGACCACUUUAGAUGUGAUCAUUUGUGUUGCUUCAAACCUUCUUGACAUAACAUAAUGUGUGCGUGUUACUAAUCUGAAAGUCGAGCCUAAGCUUUGUUAAGUGGACUUCAUGCAAUUAUGAUAUAAUUGUUGAUUAUCUCUCUUCCAUCACAAAAUCCAACUUACUAUGUUUUUUACCAUUGAAUGAAUGUUCAGCCAUUAUCAGACUUUUGUGCUGUGCCCUGGCUGACAAACCGUGCUUUGCCAACCUAGUGGAGGAAAGGCAAGGUUGACCAAGUGAUGAUCCUUCCACCUGAAGGGUGAUUAAUUUGCAUGCUUAUUAUGAAAAAAUGAAGCCCUUCUGAACAUUGCUUUCUACUACUUAUCCUCGAUGUGGGGAGGCCGGCCAAAAGGGGUAUGCUUAGGUGGUGAACUUGGAAUGGGAUAAUAGAACACUACCUGUUGUUACAUUCUGAUUUUAGUUGCGUUUGAGUUUUAGAUUAUUUUUUUACCUUUUAGCAUGGUAAUUUGCUGGGACCUGGCACUAUUGAUUUUGAUUAUUGCAAAGUGAUAAUCAGUUUUAUGUC